rnacentral:tRNA from 1 species
CAAGACGUAGCUAUAACAAAAGCAUUCAGCUUACACCUGAAAGAUAUCUGUUAACUCCCAGAUCGCCUUGA